GUCUUUUGGUCUCAGUAGAAGAUGUGGCUCUCUGAAACGUGGCAGAGAGCUGAAAACUAUUUCUAGUUCACUCACUUGCGGGAAGAUAAUUGUUGGACCCAUGGAACUUUUUGCUGCAAAGAUUCAAAAACAAGAAUAAGCUGGUAGCCUGGCAAUCGGAUCAAAGACUCAGUAACCAGAUGGGCUGUACUUACUGAAUAGAGGGAAGGAAGCAGGACAGAACCACCAAAGCCUCACAGUGACCAGAAAGCCCAUGGCAGAAGGUGGGAGGAGGUUUGUG
rnacentral:lncRNA from 1 species